rnacentral:rRNA from 1 species
CAGCAGCCGCGGUAAUGCGUAGGUGGCAAGCGUUGUCCGGAAUUAUUGGGCGUAAAGGGCUCGCAGGCGGUUUCUUAAGUCCGAUGUGAAAGCCCCCGGCUCAACCGGGGAGGGUCAUUGGAAACUGGGAAACUUGAGUGCAGAAGAGGAGAGUGGAAUUCCACGUGUAGCGGUGAAAUGCGUAGAGAUGUGGAGGAACACCAGUGGCGAAGGCGACUCUCUGGUCUGUAACUGACGCUGAGGAGCGAAAGCGUGGGGAGCGAACAGGAUUAGAUACCCCGGUAGUCCCUGUCUCUUAUAC